CACAAAGCUAAAACCAGGACUGACCAAUAAGGGAGAAACUGUAGCAGGUUAUUGACAAGGCUCAUAGAGACAACCUGCAAGUUUAUCUGCAUCCUUCCAGUGGUCCAGCUCUGGCAGGGAGGUGAUGAGAGACAAGGUGGAAAAACAGUGACUUGGCCAGUUUUUUUCCACACUCCGAGUGUCUCUGCUUUUUGAAACUUUCCACAUAAGACCUCGUUUUUCAAUGGCCUGUGAGAUGGCUCAGUGGGUAAAGGAGCCUGAUGCCAGGCCUGGCGACC
rnacentral:lncRNA from 1 species